ensembl:lncRNA
CUUUCUAGCCUAUUUGAGGACGAAGCCAAAUUUCCUUACCUUUGAAUUGAUCGGUAGACUUGCACAUAAGUUACCACUUCCAUUUAGUUUUUGUCUCAUGUCUCUGCACACAGUUUGUAUCGGGGUUAGAUUGUCAGCCUUUAGCUUUCGCUGAAAAUAUCGCCAUGUCAUCUGUGUUUAAGCUGGUGUGUUAAAAAAAACUAAAAAGUAGGCUACUACAUGUUUUUAUUAAGUAUUUACUGUAUGUACCAGCAGCAACUGAGGUUUGCGACGACCAGCUCUGUCAUUAUACGCUGAAGGUGUCGUGGUUGUGUACGAAUAUAGGCCUACCUGGUGUUUUGGUAUAGUUUAGCUUUUCCUUUUAAACACUGUAAAUACGAAUUUGAUUUGACAUUGUUUGGGUGAAACGUCACUCUGCCCACCAUUCAAAACUUUCUGCAUCCUUUGAGAAUCACAUUCUCAUGUGGGUUAAAAACUUGAUUUAGCCUAAUAAUCGAUUUCAGUGCUAGCGUUUGUCGACUAAAUGGAGCACUCAUUUAUUCCGAGCUUUUUUGAUGAAUGGUGGAUGCCUUGAACAAGGACUGACAUCCAGACGCAUCUAUCAUAUUGGAGAAUAGCCAGUUUUGAGGUCGCACAUGUACCACUACCCUCUGCAAAAUCCAAAGAUUGUCAAGAUUUUGAAAUAAAUAUAAGCCAUGACGUGACGGUGGUGCAGAGUUUUCUAGUCUUUUUAUCAGUGCUAGUGCAAAAAGAGCCAUUUGUCCUAAAAUAAAUCAAUCAAUCAAUGGAAUUGUAACGGCUAUUGAAUUUCCUAAAAUUGUCUUUACCUUACCUUUUGGGUUUUUUUCUGAGACUUUAAAUGUCUUUUUGUAUAGUCUGCCAAUUUCUUAGAGCUAAAUGCAACAACCUUAAAAUGCUAAAACUUAGCAUAUUGCCUUAGAUCUGUUUAACUGUCUUGUAUAUUACGAAAGUUGUCUGUAUUAUAUUUGUAUAGUGAAUCAUUGACAGGAUCGACCCAGUUCUUUACUGCUCAUCUAUUGCUGGAUACCUACAUACUGUCUCUCUUUCUCUCUCUAUUCCCUCACAGACCUGCUCUCUCUCUCUCUCUCUCUCUCUCUCUCUCCUUAGUCUAAAUAUUGCUCAUUUUCCAUGUUUUGUUUGUGAUCAGUUGUGGGUUUUAUUAUUUGUACAGUCUUGAUUUUGCCCUCUCAGUUGUGUGUGAGAAUGAAGAUGAUGCAAUGGGAAAUCGAAGCAAUAUGUAAUUUAUAAGGACUAUUUGGAGAAAGCUUACAGUGUUGCGCUCCUGAGAUGUAUUUUUCCCCCGCAGUUGUGGUCACAUAAACAUCUCUGUUCAUCCGCAUCGAUGUGUGUAAUCUUAGUGUGAGCCUUUUAUGCAAAGUUAGAUAUACCGAGAGAAAUUUAAAUACAGUUAUGCAAGUUGUCAACUAAUAUUGCUUUGCUGAUGCUAUUUGAUGUUGAAUCAAAUUGAAUUGUAAAUAAAGAAUUCUGUUAUUGCA